rnacentral:rRNA from 1 species
CCUACGGGAGGCAGCAGUGGGGAAUAUUGGACAAUGGGGGGAACCCUGAUCCAGCGACGCCGCGUGAGUGAAGAAGUAUUUCGGUAUGUAAAGCUCUAUCAGCAGGGAAGAAAGAAAUGACGGUACCUGACUAAGAAGCCCCGGCUAACUACGUGCCAGCAGCCGCGGUAAUACGUAGGGGGCAAGCGUUAUCCGGAUUUACUGGGUGUAAAGGGAGCGUAGACGGUUACGCAAGUCUGGAGUGAAAGGCGGGGGCUCAACCCCCGGACUGCUUUGGAAACUGUAUAACUGGAGUGCAGGAGAGGUAAGUGGAAUUCCUAGUGUAGCGGUGAAAUGCGUAGAUAUUAGGAGGAACACCAGUGGCGAAGGCGGCUUACUGGACUGUAACUGACGUUGAGGCUCGAAAGCGUGGGGAGCAAACAGGAUUAGAUACCCUAGUAGUC